UACGUAGGGUGCGAGCGUUGUCCGGAAUUAUUGGGCGUAAAGGGCUCGUAGGCGGUUUGUCGCGUCGGGAGUGAAAACCCAGGGCUUAACCCUGGGCUGGCUUUCGAUACGGGCAGACUAGAGGUAUGCAGGGGAGAACGGAAUUCCUGGUGUAGCGGUGAAAUGCGCAGAUAUCAGGAGGAACACCGGUGGCGAAGGCGGCUCUCUGGGCAUGUUCUGACGCUGAGGAGCGAAAGUGUGGGGAGCGAACAGG
rnacentral:rRNA from 1 species